GCGGAAUAUUUUUUAGUGGAUCUGCGCACUUCAAAAGUCAAUUAAAUUAGGGUUCCAACCAAAUAACUCAUCUCCCAAAAUUUUAAUCCUUGCUUCUCUCCUGCUCCCCUACGUUUCACCAAAUUCUCGUAAUUAGGGUCCUAAUAUCCAUGGAAAUCCACUCAUAAGGUGAUGUGUUGUUUUUAGUGUAGUACCUAGGGUUGGGGUGAAGCUUCACCGGACAAAUACAAUUGCAUCCAUGUUGCCGAGACACCAAUGAUGGAUUCUUUAAAAAACAGCGCCCCUGAUCGGUGGAGAUUGGUGAAGGCUCAUGGUAAGUUGCUACUCAAAGGUGCUUGUGAACGCGGUGCCAAGAGGAUACGUGUUCAUGCACUUACUGAUAGCCGUGGUGUUGUGGAUGGUUCAAGUGUUGGCUUUGCACAGACACUUGAAAAGGAUCUUGCAGAGCUACGUGGGAAAGGCAUUGAUGCGCAGGUCGCAUCGGGUGGAGGUCGCAUGUAUGUCGCCAUGGACCGUUAUGAGUUAUAUGGCUAUUUAUGUGGCAUAAUAGUAGAGAUGGCAAAACGUGUUGUGCUCUUUUAAACGGGUGGAACCACACAUUUAACACGACAUGGUUUUAUGAUAAGGAUCGUCAAGGGAUUCGAUGAAGAUAUAUACGACAUGAGAUUGAAAAGUCGAAGUUGGUUAUCAAGGAAGUUCGUUAAGGAAAAGGAUGAAGAAAAAGAAAGGUUAAAUGGAGUUAUUGCGGGUUUGUUGGCUGAUAAAGAAAAAGAUAAGGUGGACAAAGAUGUCAUGCUCAAUAGGAUGUCACAAAUUGAAGCUAUGUUAACCGCUAUGGUUCGAAGAUAGGCUAUAAACAUUUGGUUUUGAACGUUUUGAUGUUUAUCAUAUUAGGAUAAUUUCGGUAAUUUAAUGUUUUAGUUAGCAUUUAUAUUAGAAUGUUUUAUAAUUUUAUACAUUUUUGGGAUUUUGUAA